rnacentral:rRNA from 1 species
CCUACGGGCGGCAGCAGUGAGGAAUAUUGGUCAAUGGACGAGAGUCUGAACCAGCCAAGUAGCGUGAAGGAUGACUGCCCCAUGGGUUGUAAACUUCUUUUAUAUGGGAAUAAAAUGUUCCACGUGUGGGAUUUUGUAUGUACCAUAUGAAUAAGGAUCGGCUAACUCCGUGCCAGCAGCCGCGGUAAUACGGAGGAUCCGAGCGUUAUCCGGAUUUAUUGGGUUUAAAGGGAGCGUAGGUGGAUUGUUAAGUCAGUUGUGAAAGUUUGCGGCUCAACCGUAAAAUUGCAGUUGAAACUGGCAGUCUUGAGUACAGUAGAGGUGGGCGGAAGUCGUGGUGUAGCGGUGAAAUGCUUAGAUAUCACGAAGAACUCCGAUUGCGAAGGCAGUUCACUGGACUGCAACUGACACUGAGGCUCGAAAGUGUGGGUAUCAAACAAGAUUAGAUACCCCAGUAGUC